AUAAGGCUGAGCUGUGAUGGCGAGGGAAAUUUAGUACCGAAGUUCCUGAUUCCACACUGCCAAGAAAAGCCUCUAGCGAGGUGAGAGGUGCCCGUACCGCAAACCGACACAGGUAGGCGAGGAGAGAAUCCUAAGGUGAGCGAGAGAACUCUCGUUAAGGAACUCGGCAAAAUGACCCCGUAACUUCGGGAGAAGGGGUGCUUUUUAGGGUUCAUAGCCCUGAAAAGCCGCAGUGAAUAGGCCCAGGCGACUGUUUAGCAAAAACACAGGUCUCUGCGAAGCCGCAAGGCGAAGUAUAGGGGCUGACGCCUGCCCGGUGCUGGAAGGUUAAGGGGAGAGGUUAGCGCAAGCGAAGCUUUGAACCGAAGCCCCAGUAAACGGCGGCCGUAACUAUAACGGUCCUAAGGUAGCGAAAUUCCUUGUCGGGUAAGUUCCGACCCGCACGAAAGGCGUAACGAUCUGGGCACUGUCUCAACGAGAGACUCGGUGAAAUUAUAGUACCUGUGAAGAUGCAGGUUACCCGCGACAGGACGGAAAGACCCCGUGGAGCUUUACUGUAGCCUGAUAUUGAAUUUUGGUACAGCUUGUACAGGAUAGGUAGGAGCCUUGGAAGCCGGAGCGCCAGCUUCGGUGGAGGCAUUGGUGGGAUACUACCCUUGCUGUAUUGAAAUUCUAACCCACAGCCCUGAUCGGGCUGGGAGACAGUGUCAGGUGGGCAGUUUGACUGGGGCGGUCGCCUCCUAAAAUGUAACGGAGGCGCCCAAAGGUUCCCUCAGAAUGGUUGGAAAUCAUUCGCAGAGUGUAAAGGCACAAGGGAGCUUGACUGCGAGACCUACAAGUCGAGCAGGGACGAAAGUCGGGCUUAGUGAUCCGGUGGUUCCGCAUGGAAGGGCCAUCGCUCAACGGAUAAAAGCUACCCCGGGGAUAACAGGCUUAUCUCCCCCAAGAGUCCACAUCGACGGGGAGGUUUGGCACCUCGAUGUCGGCUCAUCGCAUCCUGGGGCUGUAGUCGGUCCCAAGGGUUGGGCUGUUCGCCCAUUAAAGCGGUACGCGAGCUGGGUUCAGAACGUCGUGAGACAGUUCGGUCCCUAUCCGUCGUGGGCGCAGGAAAUUUGAGAGGAGCUGUCCUUAGUACGAGAGGACCGGGAUGGACGCACCGCUGGUGUACCAGUUGUCUUGCCAAAGGCAUCGCUGGGUAGCUAUGUGCGGAAGGGAUAAGUGCUGAAAGCAUCUAAGCAUGAAGCCCCCCUCAAGAUGAGAUUUCCCAUCACGUAAGUGAGUAAGAACCCUGAAAGAUGAUCAGGUUGAUAGGUCUGAGGUGGAAGCGCGGUGACGUGUGGAGCUGACAGAUACUAAUCGUUCGAGGACUUAACCACAG
rnacentral:rRNA from 1 species